GCUUACUUACUCAAAUCUUCAUUGCUUCAAACUACUAAUUAUAUGGAGGACAACUCCCAUCAUGCUUAUUCACUAAGAACUGUUUCUUGCUUUGCAAAUACACUCACUGCUUCAAGCUACUAAUUAUAUGGAGGACAACUCCCAUCAUGUUUAUUCACUAUGAACUGUUUCUUGCUUUGCAAAUACACUCACUGCUUCAAGCUACUAAUUAUACGGAGGACAACUCCCAUCAUGUUUAUUCACUAUGAACCGUUUCUUGCUUUGAAAAUACACUCACUGCUUCAAGCUACUAAUUAUAUGGAGGACAACUCCCAUCAUGCUUAUUCACUAUGAACUGUU